UUGGCCGAUCGCCUUGAGUUGAUCAUGGCUCGAACGAACGCUGGCGGCAGGCUUAACACAUGCAAGUCGAACGGGUGUAGCAAUACAUCAGUGGCAGACGGGUGAGUAACACGUGGGAACCUUCCUCGUUGUACGGGACAACUCAGGGAAACUUGAGCUAAUACCGUAUACGUCCGAGAGGAGAAAGAUUUAUCGCAAUGAGACGGGCCCGCGUCGGAUUAGCUAGUUGGUGGGGUAAUGGCCUACCAAGGCGACGAUCCGUAGCUGAUCUGAGAGGAUGAUCAGCCACACUGGGACUGAGACACGGCCCAGACUCCUACGGGAGGCAGCAGUGGGGAAUCUUGGACAAUGGGCGCAAGCCUGAUCCAGCCAUGCCGCGUGAGUGAAGAAGGCCUUAGGGUUGUAAAGCUCUUUUGCCAGGGACGAUAAUGACGGUACCUGGAGAAUAAGCCCCGGCAAACUUCGUGCCAGCAGCCGCGGUAAUACGAAGGGGGCUAGCGUUGUUCGGAUUUACUGGGCGUAAAGCGCACGUAGGCGGGUCGUUAAGUCAGGGGUGAAAUCCCGGAGCUCAACUCCGGAACUGCCUUUGAUACUGGCGACCUUGAGGCUGGAAGAGGUUAGUGGAAUUCCCAGUGUAGAGGUGAAAUUCGUAGAUAUUGGGAAGAACACCAGUGGCGAAGGCGGCUAACUGGUCCAGAUCUGACGCUGAGGUGCGAAAGCGUGNGGAGCAAACAGGAUUAGAUACCCUGGUAGUCCACC
rnacentral:rRNA from 1 species